rnacentral:lncRNA from 1 species
CAUGCGCAGAGGACUACAACCAUCAUUGCGACAUAGAUCAAUGUUAGGAUUUCUCUCUAACAACAACUUUACUAUUUCAGUAUGUCCGUUCUGACUUGCCAUGUACAGUGGACUACAGCCAUUAUUGUUACAAAGAUCAAUGUUAGGAUUCUUCUCUAACAACAACUUUACUAUUUCGGUAUUUCCAUUCUGACUUGCAAUGAAUAGAGGACUACAUCCAUCCUUUUGACAUAGAUAAAUAUUAGGUUUCCUCUCUAACAACAACUUUACUAUUUCAGUAUGUCCAUUCUGACUUGCAAAAUACAGUCCAGUAACCCCAUUGUCUCGACAUUGAUUCACAUCCACAUCAUUGUGUAACAUCCACUGUACCAUAUCAGUAUAACCAGCAAAACAAGUCUGUAUCAGCGGAGUAGUACCCGAUCCAUGGUGCUCUUUUGAUAAUACUGUGUCACAUUUAUUAGCUAAUGUGACUUGAAGUGAUUUGUCCAGAAGUUGCAAGUGCUUUAACAGCUGUUGUCUAAAUUCUGAAACUGUCAAAUUACUGUUCAU